GAAACGUGAGCGACCCGUGCAGGACAGCCCCCAACACCGACGUUUUAUUUAGAACUGUUGCAUCUAUGCUUAUGAGAAAGGUUGGCCUGCAAUUUUCUAUUACAUGUUGGACAGGACCAAAUAUCAAUGACCUUUUGGUGUGGACCAAACGUCUUGCAAGGUUCUCCAGGAGUGGGGCUGUGGCCCUUGACCCUUAGUCUCCAUGACCAGACUGCUGAUAUCCGCUGCCAAACCUCCCUGACCGGAGUUGUGUGCUGUCCAGGACCUACCACUGACCAAAUCCCCUCAGCCCACAGUCUGUCCACCUGCUGGGUGAGUGACCACCAGGCUGGAUGGCCUUGAUUGUCUGAUCUAACGACACUGUCCAAUUGGCAUAACUCUUGGCCAGGCAAGUCCCUCUAUGGCCCUGCUCCAUCUCCAUAGUCCUAAGAGGAACAAGUUGCUCAUGUGUAAUUAGAGAGAUCCAUAAGAGGAGUGUAACUGGGCAGGGAAAAGGUGAUCUUAGUAACCAGGAAAUCGCAUCAUAGACACAACUCCCGUUAUUCUACGUACAAAGCCCAGUCCUAAUCAUAGAAACAAAACUACAACAACAACAACACAAUGAUCAUAGUAGCAGCACACUGCUAAUUAAAUGCUACUAUGUACCAGGUUCAGUGGAUUAACUGUUACUCCUCACCAUUAACACUAUGUGCAGCUAUGAUGUUACCCUCGUUUCAUAGAUAAGGAUCUCGGAGCAGAGAGAGUUUAGAUACCUUGCUCAUCCAGAAUGGGGCACAGUCAGGACUUGACCCAGGCAGUCUGGGUCCACCUGUCUUAGGAUCAUGGCACUCUGACUAAUGUCGGGCUCUGUUUCCCAUCUGCCAAGAAACCACAGCUUCGGCAUCAGGUACAUUUUCAGAGGCUCAGGAUCACCAGCUACAGAGUAAGAAGCGAGCUCCCUUUCAUUCAAAGAUCAGGGCGAUAUCUAGUUGUCCUAAAUUCUAGCAGAACAUUUAAUAAAACAUGUUGCAUCAUGUCA
rnacentral:lncRNA from 1 species